UCUUUACAUGCUGUAUGUAUCAUAUAUAUACAGCUGUGUUCCAUAUCAUGGUGAACAUAGUAAAUGAAAAAAAAAUCUUUAGAUUCACAUCCCAAUCUUCAAUCUGAUAGAUGUAACACAACUUGCGUAAACCUUGCGAGUAAAAGACCACCGGAGUUCCGGCGACUCCGUCAUCGGACCACAACUUCAUGUCGCGGUGAACCGUGAUUUUAUUGAAGCUGCUGGAAGAACCCACCGGAUCUCCAAAAAACUGUCGUCUCCGGCGACGGUUAAGCAGCCGGAGAUCGGCGUCGUCGCUGCCGGUAAAUGUGCCGAACUGACAUCGUUGAUGAUGAUGAGGAGGAUGAUUGUAGCGUCGGUUAACCGGGGAGUUGAAUCGCCGGGGGAAGAUUUUCGGGUAAGAGAUUGUUAUGCGUGACGGUAGGAACCGUGGCCGGUGAUGUUGGAGAUAUUGUUACGUCGUCGUUUCAGAAAGUGAUUCUGCCGUUUGAUUUGAAUGUUCCGGCAACGGUGGAAGACACGUGCGGUUUUCCGGUGGACGAUGGGGGAUAAUAGUUUUUGAAACAACACAGAGACUAAGGAAAAAAAAGUGAUUUGGAUAUUGUGUAUUCGAUUCUUAAAUACGUUAAAGGAUGUUGAUGAUG